rnacentral:rRNA from 1 species
ACACAGCAAUGAGUGGCAUACGGCUCAGUAACACGUANUCAACAUGCCCAGGGGACGUGGAUAACCUCGGGAAACUGAGGAUAAACCGCGAUAGGUCACUACUUCUGGAAUGGGUAAUGACCCAAACCUAUAUGGCCCCUGGAUUGGACUGCGGCCGAUCAGGCUGUUGGUGAGGUAAUGGCCCACCAAACCUGUAACCGGUACGGGCUCUGAGAGGAGGAGCCCGGAGAUGGGCACUGAGACAAGGGCCCAGGCCCUAUGGGGCGCAGCAGGCGCGAAACCUCUGCAAUAGGCGAAAGCUUGACAGGGUUACUCUGAGUGAUUUCCGUUAAGGAGAUCUUUUGGCACCUCUAAAAAUGGUGCAGAAUAAGGGGUGGGCAA